rnacentral:rRNA from 1 species
AAGUGCCCAGCGCCGAAAUCCGCGUCCCCACGGGGCGUCGGGUUAUGUGGCGUUUGGGAGGACCGUAUUCCGGCGGUCGGUGGCGGUGCAAGUCCCCCUGACUGGGGCUCUCGCCCCGAGCGGGUGCAAGGCCCAUAGCUGCCGCACGCCGCCGUCGGAUUUCGCCUCCCGGGAGUCGGGUUGCUUGGGAGUGCASCCCUAAGUGGGUGGUAAACUCCACCUCAGGCUAAAUACGGCCGCGAGACCGAUAGCAAACAAGUACCGUGAGGGAAAGUUGAAAANAACUUUGAAGAGAGAGUUCAAGAGUACGUGAAACCGCUCAGAGGCAAACGGGUGGGCCCUCGAAGGCAAGAGGGCGGGAGGAUUCAGUCGAGCGGUGUACCGGAGGCUGCGGUCGGCACGGACUCCUUUCAGGGCCGUCCGCACGUAGUUGUAGCUCCGGAUGGCUCGGCGCAUUUCCCCCCCGCCGCAAAAUGACGCUGCGACCGGUUGGACGCUCUCGGCCAUGAGGGCGGGCGACGGCAGGUGGCCGGCCGCAGGUUCGUCCUGCGGCCGGUGUUACAGCCGGCCCGCCACGGGCGCGUUCGUCACCAACCGAGGACACCGGGCCCUGUGUGGGCCGUUGCGCAUCCUCCAUCUAUAGGAGCGGGUCGCCCGGCAGGUGGUUCGUCGUCUCGACCGUCUUCACCCGAGUGUGUGCGGUCGGCGACGUCCUCCGUUGGCUCGGUGCGGUUCCCGCGCAGGAUGCCGGACGUCGGCAGCGAGUAGGUCGGUCACCCACCCGACCCGUCUUGAAACACGGACCAAGGAGUCUAACAUGUGCGCGAGUCAUUGGGUCUUGCUUAGGCCCAAAGGCNCAAUGAAAGUGAAGGCCGGCUCGGUCGGCUGCGUUGGGAUCCCGUCCUCGACGGCGGGAGCACCAACGGCCCGUCCCUGUCGCCGCGUCGACGGGGCGGAGUGAGAGCGUACACGUUGGGACCCGAAAGAUGGUGAACUAUGCCUGGGCAGGACGAAGCCAGAGGAAACUCUGGUGGAGGUCCGCAGCGAUUCUGACGUGCAAAUCGAUCGUCAGACCUGGGUAUAGGGGCGAAAGACUAAUCGAACCAUCUAGUAGCUGGUUCCCUCCGAAGUUUCCCUCAGGAUAGCUGGCGCUCGGAGGAAGGCAUUCUCAUCCGGUAAAGCGAAUGAUUAGAGGCCUUGGGGCCGAAACGACCUCAAC